GGCUCGGUUUCUCAGUUGGUAAAGCACUCGUCUAGCAUACAUGAGUCGUGGGUUCGAAUCCCACCUGAGCAC
rnacentral:tRNA from 1 species